AGAAAAUCAUCACAGCUGAGUCUGGACAGGACGUCACUCUGACAUGUCGAAGCUCCAAACAACAACAUCAUCAGUUUAGAGUGGAGCAGAGCUGACCUGAGAGAUGAAAAUGUGCUUUUGUACCGGGAUGGUCACUUUGUUCCAGACAACCAGCAUCCAUCUUUUAAGAACCGGGUGGAUCUGCAGGACAGACAGAUGAAGGAUGGAGACGUGUCUUUGAUUCUGAAGGAUGUGACGAUUAAUGACACUGGAACAUACAAGUGUGGUGUCGUCCUGACAGGAACUGGCCAUUUGAAGCUGAUCAACACCACCUACUUCAUGUUGUUCCUCCAGCUCAGACAGGAGGACAAGAGAAGGAUGAAGACAACAGAGAUGGAGGAAAGGAAGACAAAAGGAAGGAGGAGGAUGGAUCUGUUGGACUGAUUGCUGGUCUGACAGUUCCUGCUGUGCUUUUUGUUGCUGCUGUUGGUUUCAUGAUCUACAGAAGAUGUAAACUGAAUCCUGCUGAUCCACAUGUAGCAGAGCAUCUUCAGCCUGAAUAUCCACACAUCAUCAUCAACAGCUGAGUCUGGACAGAACAUCACUUUUGACAAUAACAAAAUACACCCAAACUGUUUUUUUUUUCAAAAAUAAUUUGUGUGUAUGUUUUUUUCUUUCUUAUCUACCAUGUGAUCUCACUGUUCUAUGUGCAUGCGUGUGGCCACUUUGUGGAAACAUGAAGGGCUCUAAUGAUGCAGUACAUUCAUUGUUAGUGGAAGCAAGCAGCAUGCAGUGCAUUGUGUACACAGUCACUGGUGGGGAUGUUCAGUGGUGAG